GAUGAACGCUAGCGGCAGGCCUAAUACAUGCAAGUCGGACGGUAAAUGGCCCUUCGGGGCUAUGAGAGUGGCGCACGGGUGCGUAACGCGUAUGCAACCUACCCAAUGCUGGAGGAUAGCCCGGAGAAAUUCGGAUUAACCCUUCAUGAGGAGCGGAGAGGGCAUCCUUUCUGUUUCAAAUAUUCAUAGGCGUUGGAUGGGCAUGCGUGCUAUUAGAUAGUUGGCGGGUAACGGCCACCAAGUCGACGAUCAGUAGCCGGACUGAGAGGUUGAACGGCCACAUUGGGACUGAGACACGGCCCAGACUCCUACGGAGGCGAGCAGUGGGGAAUAUUGCACAAUGGGCGCAAGCCUGAUGCAGCAACGCCGCGUGAGGGAAGACGGUUUCGGA
rnacentral:rRNA from 1 species